rnacentral:misc_RNA from 1 species
UCUCCGUUGGUGAAUCAGCGGAGGGAUCAUUACAGGACUCGCAAGACUCCUACAACCCUGUGAACUUAACUAUAAGCACGUUGCUUCGGCGGGUGUCUCGGAGGGGGUUCUCCCUCCCCGAGACGCUAAACCCGCCGGCAGCCUACUAUACUCUGUCUCUUUGCGUUGGCAUCUCGAGUACAAUCAAACAAGUUAAAACUUUCAACAACGGAUCUCUUGGUUCU